UAAGGUGGUUAUUGCGGCGGGGCUCACCUCUUCCCAUCCCGAACAGAGUAGUUAAGCCCGCCUGCGCAGAUGGUACUGCAGUUAU
rnacentral:rRNA from 1 species